GACGAACGCUGGCGGCGUGCUUAACACAUGCAAGUCGAACGGAAAGGCCCUGCUUUUGUGGGGUGCUCGAUUGGCGAACGGGGGAGUAACACGUGAGUAACCUGCCCUUGACUUUGGGAUAACAUUAGGAAACUGGGGCUAAUAUCGGAUAGGAGCUCCUGCUGCAUGGUGGGGGUUGGAAAGUUUCGGCGGUUGGGGAUGGACUCGCGGCUUAUCAGCUUGUUGGGGGGGUAGUGGCUUCCGAAGGUUUUGAAGGGUAGCCGGCCUGAGAGGGUGAACGGCCACCAUGGGACUACGGGACGGCGCAGACUGCAACGGGAGGCAAUAGGCGGGAAUAUUGCACAAUGGGCCGGAGCCUGAUACGACAGCCCCCCGUGCGUAAAGACGGCUUUCGGGGUAAAAACCGCUGUCGCCUGUGACGAAGUGUGAGUGACGGUAAUGAGUAAAGAAGCACCGGCUAACUACGUG
rnacentral:rRNA from 1 species